GCUCGACAAUGGCAAACCUAUCUAAAGAUAGGGACGCAAAACUAAAGGGGCUUAGUGUAAAACACUGUGCCAGCCAGUUAUCGAA
rnacentral:ncRNA from 1 species